AUUCUGCCCAUGCGGGGAAGGAUGAGAAGCCUCGACCAAGGUUCGACUCGAGCGCCAGCGAGAGAGCGUUGCCGCAGGCAACGACCCGAAGGGCGAAGCGCGCAGCGUUGAGUAAUCCGUCCCCCACCACCA
rnacentral:sRNA from 1 species